CUGGUUACAUGAUGAAUAAAACAAAAAUCACCAUCUUUCGGCUGACAGCUGUGAUGAUUUGUUUUUUCCUGAGUAGAUACCAG
ensembl:snoRNA small nucleolar RNA, C/D box 51